GAGGGGGCGGGGGGUUUCACUUCCGGGACGGUGUUCCGGCCCAUUCCGGCCCAUUUCCACCCCCGGAGCAGGGUUGAAUGCCUGCCUGCACCUUCAGGCACGACCAUGGAGAAAGGUGGGAACAUACAAUUGGAGAUCCCUGACUUCAGCAACUCAGUUCUCAGCCAUCUAAAUCAACUGCGCAUGCAGGGCCGUCUCUGUGAUAUUGUGGUCAAUGUGCAAGGACAAGCUUUUCGGGCUCAUAAAGUGGUACUGGCUGCCAGUUCCCCCUAUUUCCGGGAUCAUAUGUCCUUGAAUGAAAUGAGUACUGUCUCCAUUUCAGUCAUCAAGAACCCUACUGUUUUUGAACAGCUUCUUUCUUUCUGUUACACGGGGCGGAUAUGCCUGCAACUGGCAGAUAUCAUCAGCUACCUAACAGCUGCCAGUUUUCUGCAAAUGCAGCAUAUUAUAGACAAAUGUACACAGAUCCUAGAGGGUAUUCAUUUCAAAAUUAAUGUGGCUGAGGUUGAAGCAGAAUUAAGUCAAACAAGGACAAAGCAUCAAGAUAGGCCUCCUGAGUCUCACAGGGUUACACCAAAUCUAAACCGCUCCCUUAGCCCACGACAUAAUACCCCAAAGGGAAACCGACGAGGGCAGGUCAGUGCUGUGCUAGACAUCAGAGAGCUAAGUCCCCCUGAGGAGUCCACCAGCCCUCAGAUAAUUGAACAGAGUUCUGAUGUAGAAAGCCGGGAGCCCAUUCUUCGAAUCAACCGAGCAGGACAGUGGUAUGUGGAGACAGGAGUAGCAGACCGGGGUGGCCGGAGUGAUGAUGAAGUUAGGGUUCUUGGAGCAGUGCACAUCAAAACUGAAAAUCUCGAGGAGUGGCUUGGGCCUGAGAAUCAGCCUUCUGGAGAAGAUGGGAGUAGUGCAGAGGAAGUCACAGCCAUGGUAAUUGACACCACAGGCCAUGGUUCUGUAGGACAGGAGAGUUACACCUUAGGGUCUUCAGGAGCCAAGGUGGCUCGGCCAACAAGCAGUGAAGUUGACCGAUUCAGCCCCUCCGGCAGUGUUGUCCCCUUGGCUGAGAGACACAGAGCCCGAAGUGAGUCUCCCGGGAGAGUGGAUGAGCCCAAGCAGCCAAGCUCCCAGGUAGAAGAAUCAGCAAUGAUGGGAGUAAGUGGCUAUGUGGAGUAUCUCCGAGAACAGGAAGUAUCUGAACGGUGGUUCCAAUACAAUCCCCGUCUCACCUGCAUCUAUUGCGCAAAAUCUUUCAACCAGAAGGGGAGCCUAGACCGCCAUAUGCGCCUACAUAUGGGGAUCACACCAUUUGUCUGCCGCAUGUGUGGCAAGAAGUAUACCCGGAAAGAUCAGCUGGAGUAUCAUAUACGCAAGCACACAGGCAAUAAGCCCUUUCAUUGUCAUGUCUGUGGCAAAAGUUUUCCCUUCCAGGCCAUCUUGAAUCAGCACUUUCGUAAAAACCACCCUGGCUGUAUACCCCUGGAGGGGCCUCACAGCAUCUCUCCUGAAACGACUGUCACAUCUCGAGGACAAGCUGAAGAAGAGUCACCUUCCCGGGAAGAGACAGUUGCUCCUGGGGAAACUGCCCAGGGCUCUGUGUCCACCACUGGGCCAGAUUGAGACAUUGAGGGGGAGGGGGCAGACCCUCUUCCCCUUUGGGCCGUAAACAGCCUGCAUCAGGGCCAUGGACUGGUACUUAGAUUCACAAAAUGCCACCUCAUUAAACCAGAAGACGCUCCCAAGAUGUUGCCAAACUAGAGGAUCAACAACAUACACAGAAGACUAAAGGCUCUUCCCCUCCUCCUUCCCUCCUCACACUUUGGAAAAAAUCAAGCAAAUCAACUUUCUAAUUCAGGGAUCAACAGCCUUGGUUUGUUAACUUUAUAAGAAAAACAUUUUUUUUAGCAAAACUAUGAUAAAUGGUCAUUUAUCUACCAGUUGUGUUUGAACACUGUACUUUGGUCCAUAACAUCUUGGUGGCUGUAAUUGCCAGGAUCUAAAAAAUGCAACAGGAGUCUUGGCCAUCUGAAGCAGCCAGCCACGAGAGAGGAGGUAGUCAUGAUGGUGAGGAGGAAGAAUCUCUCCUCUUCCUUCCCUGCCGGAAUGUGAAUUUUCACAUCAAGAAAAAAAGAGUGAAUACUGGUGGUUCUUACUGUUCUGCAAGCAUCACAAGUCUAAACCAUUUCAAGCCAAUCACAACAACUCAAGUGAGUAGAAAUUGCUUAAGGUUUAGAUGUGUGCUUUUAGCCACUUCUUGAAGCAGAUAUUGAUGACAUAUUUGAAGGUGAUCUACGAGUUUUCUAUAGAGUCAUAGGAACUCUAGUGGUUAAGAACCACUCAGAAACAGAAAUGUUUUGCAGGGACAAAGCUUAAAAUGUUUCCUCUGGAAGCCAAGUGCUAAAACAGAGGUUACUAAAAGUGUGGCUAAAUCCACCCCUGGAAUGGCUAUCAGAUAGCAUAAAUAUUUAGAAUUUAUAUGGUAUUUCUAAUAUUUUUACAAAAAUAAUUUUAAAUCAUGUAACUUGAAUUUUUUAAGAAUUAGCCUGUUUUCUUUUUGGAAAACUGGCCCAGGAAAAAUAGCACUAAUAUAAUUCCAAAUGUAUAUGCAUGUGCAUUGAACACAGAAUGGUAUACUAAAGAUAGUUCACACAAAUAACUUUUGUGGGAAGUUUAGCUAUUUUCUUAAUAACUUUUCAUAAAUGUUUAUAAAUAUAUUUACUCAUCCACCAUGAGCUUGGUAGCAUAGAAGCAUUUUGUUAGCUGUCUUAUUGAUUCUAAAAAUCAAAUUCUUGGCAUAGUAGACUGUGACAGAUUUUUGUUAACUUUGUAUUUUGGCUAAGAAAAUUAUUUCUUGCACUUUCUAUUUAUAAAGAUGCUGUAACACAAUGUACCCACUUAGUGCAGCUGUUCUUUAAAAACAAAAGAUGUAGGUGUUACAAUGAAAUAUAUGUCUAGAACCCUGGCAAAAGUAAAGACUUCGGAAAAAUAAAAGUGGCUUGCAUCUACCUGAGAAGGACUGGGGGUUGAUAUGAGAUUUAGUUGAAAGUAACUGUGGGUAGGCUUCCUGUGGCUGUGAAUGGCAGUAUUGCUGAGUUGCCAGCUGUAUGUAUGUGCGUUUAUGUACGCAUGUGAGAAAAAGGUAUUUAAUGAAGGCAGAUAAGUCAGUGUAGAAUAUUCUACCUCCCACUAGAGACUGAGCACAUUCAAGAUUGCCCUUAGGCAGGAGCUGGAUUCCCUCAGCUACUGUCCACCCCCUUUCUCUUCCAUAACUCACUUCAGCUCCUCUACCUCUGAGCACUUGGCUGAAGAAAGAGUGGAGCUUUCUGAAGCAAGCAAAGGAUAACCAGGCCCAGAACAAGGCUGCAGUGUCUGAAAUUCUUAUCAUGUGCAGAUAUUAAUGUUUUAUGUGUUGCCGAAAUGAAAAGUGUUGGAACAAUGAGGCUUAGCGCUUCUAUCCCCUGGCUUCUGCUUGCCAAGAGUAGCCUGUGGAGGUGGGCGCCAUUUGUUUUUAAGGAUGCACCCAGUGCUUUCUAAUGAGGUGAAAUAUUUGUUUGAGUGCCAGUUUUCUUUUUUAGUUGCCAUUUGUGGUCCAUUUUGGCAGGACUGGAAGAUUAACCAUCUUUUCCUGAUAAUGAGUCUCUGCCAAUAUCUUACAUGGAUGUGUGCAUGACAAAGGUUUUCAGAUGAGCUGUUUUGCUUUUAAUCACUCCAAAGAGAGAGUCUUGUUUUUAUUGCUGAUACUGUUGUAAUAGUCAAGAUGGCUUCACUUGAAUGGAGAUUUGGUUUCAGUAAUAAAAGGCCUCUAGGCAGACCUAAUAAUAAAGUCCAAUGUAGCAUCCACUAGCUUCCGCUGUCUUUUCCUGCUGGGGCAUUAGCACAUAACACACUAGGUCCAGUCAGCCUGCCUAUCUCUUGAACACUUGCGACUGCCACGGGUUAGGGCUGGCCUCAGCAGUCAUCCUCGAGUGUGUUCCACUUCUUCAUUCCCGUGGUGUGAUUGGUGGUGUUGUCUAACAGGGAUUCUCUAUCAGGAGUAGAAAUGAGAGCAUGAUCCAUUUCAGAUGUUUUAGGGGUUACUUUGGGGCACUAAUAGAUAAGUAUUUACUGGUAAGCAAGUGGGGAGUAGAGAACAUGUAAACUUCCAAAGAAGGGUUACAAUGGAUAGAGUAAUUCCUGCUGGAACGCAGCAUGAAUCCUGAGGAGAUGAGGUGGCGAACUAUGUGAAUCUGUUCCCCACAGCUCUAACUGUAGACUAGUUCUCAGCCUAACAGCCAUGCUAACAUGCUAGACUCAGGAAUUAAUUCCUGCUGAGGAAAAGUUUUUCCUCUGGCUUUUUGAUUGAUUGUGCUCAGAGUCUUGUCCCAGGCUUGCCUCCUUAUGUUUUGCUAUAAUUCAUACUUAAGGUGCAGACUUAACCUAAAUCAGUACUUUACUGCUGAUGUUGCUGCCUAUUCUGGACAAAGGGAUUAGUUAAGGGGGAAAAAGGUGAGAAAUACCUAGGUAGUUUCAUUGAAGCAUAUUAAAUCCGUGAGUCUAGAAGGAAGCCAUAGAUUUUUAACACCCUCUGGCUUGGAUGAACACUGAACUUAUGUUUUCUGUUAAGAAACCUGUUAACCUAGGCCAGUGGUUCUCUAUCUUGGAUGAGACCCCUUCCAGACAUUCACAUUUAAUUGGUCUGUUGUGCAGCUUGGGCUUUAAAAAGCUUCCUGUUUCAGACAUGGGGUGCACACCUGUAAUCCCAGCUGCUUCCAAGGGUGAGGCAGGAGGGUUGCAAAUUUGAGACCAACCUCAGCAAUUUAGCAAGACCCUGUCUCCGAAUAGAAAGGUCUAUGGAUGUAGCUCAGUGGUGGAGCACCACUCAAUACCCAGUGCCAAAAAAAAAAAAAAAAAAAAGAUUCUGAUAUGCAGCCAGGGUGGGGAAUCACUGCCUAACUAGAUAGUCUCAAGCUAGUUAUCUUGUCAUAAAAUAUCUUGAUUGAUAUCCUGGCAUUAUAGAGGGCCAAGGGUCAGAUGAUAAAUGAAACAUCCAUUUCUCAGAGUAAUUCUGGACGGAAUUGUUGUGAUCCAUCCAGCUUCUUCUCUAAACCAAAUACUGAGUGUGCCUGAGUAAGCAAAGCAAAUUUGUGAUGUGAAUAGAGAUUUGGGGUUUUUUUGUUUUUGUUUUUGUUUUUUGGUAAUCAUGGAUUGAACCCAAGGGGUAUUCAACCACUGAGCUACAUACAUCCCCAGCCCUUUUUUUAUUUUUUUUUUUUUUUAUUUUUUUGUCUUUGAGACAGAGUCUUACUAAGUUGAUUAGAGCUUCACUAAAUUGCUGAGGCUGGCUUUGAACUUUCGAUCCUCCUGCCGCAGCCACAGCUUCCCUGAGUCGUUGGGAUCACAGGCUUAUUGGGGGGGGGGGGUUGAGUAGAGAUUUUUCAACUCUAGUAGCUGAAAUAGAGUCCUUGAAUGUAUUAAAAGAGCUACUUGUAAACAGUGAGGUAGCAUUGGUGAUGGGGAAGAGAAGGAUCAUGCUUGGGGCCAUCUUGAUACAUUGUCUCCUGGUUUGUCUUCUCAGUGGGAUUUCUGUGUUAAGUGACUCACUUUUCCUUGACUUUCUUUGUAAAUGAAAUUAACUAAGGCAUAAAUGUUUCUGAAUAUUAUAUGAAAUGUGAAAUGAGUUAUUUUAUCAUCUUUGUUCCAGUAUGACAAAAGACAUCACCCAGUAAUUCCCAAUGAGAUUCCAUAUCUUCCAUUCUUCUUACCCCAGGUAGUAAAGGUGUUUUUUUCAUGGCAGUCAGGGUUUGUUACUGCCUUUGGCAACCUCACACCUGGUAAUAGGGAGGGGAGAAUUGUUGCAUUACCCAUAAAAAGUGAAAACCACUGUUCAAAUUAACUAGCUACCAAGUGACUUCUAAUUCAUGAAAGAAAUUUGUGUUUAAGAGCAAGUUCAAAUAAUACUGUCUUCUCAGUAUUCUCAACACCACAGAAAAUUUCAUUCAUGUAUUAUGUAUAACUUAUUGAUAAUUUGAACUUCAAAUAGGUGGUGUGUGCAAAAAGAAAAAGUAGGUUGAGGAAAAAGUUGAUUAGUGCAGAGGACUGGGUUAGCAUUUGACUAUGAAGUUGGUUUGAAGUGCAUUUAGGCCUUGCUGUUGCUCAGCAUGUCAGUGCCAUGGUGUCAUCAGACAGGCCUUCUGACCUUAGAUUUGCUGAAGUCUUCCUAUUAGUGGAAAGACAAAAGCAACAGCCUGUGGGACUCCAAAAAGAGUAGCCCCUGAAGAACAUUGUGGAGUACUGUGAAAUAUUGCUAAACUUUAUGCAAAGUAUAUCGCACUGGAAUUUUAAGAUUUUGAGCAGGGGAGAGUGGUGGGGGAGGAUGGGGAAACAGUAAAAGAUUAAUCAUAAACACGUACUAUGUUUUAAACAAGGAAUGAAACAAAUUCCUUAAAAGGAAUUUCCCAGAUGGACUGUGAAGUUAGGUCAACCUCUGCCCUAGUGAGUUGGCUUGCUGAUCCCUAAACCUCUAGGGAAUCCUUUCUGAAACAGCUAAGCAAAUACUAGCCUGACCACAGUCCACCACUCUGCCCAUCCUCCUGCCCUAGCAAAGGAAAACGUUCCCAUAUUAUAGGCUAACGAAGUGUGUUCCAGCUCAUCCACCAGCUUUUCAUCUGCCUAGAUAUGCAUGCACAAUUCUUAGCCUGUCGCAUUAUUUUGUGAUCCAAUAGCAGAACUUAAAAUGGAUCCACUAGUUCAAUCAGGAACGUCAGUAUCUUCCUUUCCCUUAAAGAAACCUUAAAAUCAGAACUCUGGAUUUUUGGCCUGUCAGCCUACUUGAGUAAAGGGAGAAAUAGGGAGAACAUUCAGAUUUCCUGGUUCCUCAUUAUUUGGGGAUGGAACCCACUUAUGCACUGCCUCCCGAGACACAAAGAGAAGGUUGAGGGUUCAAAGAUAGAAAAGUCAGUGUAGCAGAAAUGUGGUUUCCUUCAGAUGGACACAGUCUGAAAGAAAUCCAACUGUUCUCUAUGGUGCUUAUACGAUGGGUGACAGCUCUCCCCAUCUACCUGUCCCUGGCACUGUGCCUUCCCACUGGUCACUGUGAAAAGCAGAUCACACUGGACUCAGAGGCCAGAACCCAGGACGAGUUUCCCCUUCUCACCUUGAACCCAUCACUUUGUACAGCUUAUAAUGUAGCAUUUAACUUCUCUUUGGGAAACUUGGCUCCCCACUCCCCACCAAUAAAUGAUAAAGCAUUGAGAGUAAAAUAGAAAAUAAGUCUCUGGUGGUAGCUUUCAAAUAAAGAGAUCAUAGGAAGAUUUCACUCCCCUACAGUUGAUAUUGAUAGCAAGAAUCAACUGUGCCUGCUUCUUCCUGAGUUUCUAAAGGCUACUGUAGUAUAUAUAAGUAACAAACGUAACAGUUUUUCACAACUUGCUAUUAUUUUCACAACUUGGAUUCUUAUUAAAACAGACAAUCAGUUUCUAAAAUGUUACCCUGGAAGGGAAUGGGAUAGAGUAUUUUUAACUAAGAACCUACCAGUCUGUUUUUUCCUUUUGAAAAACCCUAACAUUUGAGACUUGUGUCUUUCAUCUGCAGCAGCUACUCCAUUAAUAAUACAGAUGCCUCCGAAAGGCCUGCGAGCCAGGAUGCUGCUCCCCGCUGGGGAUGCCGGACUGGCCUUACGCAUCUUAUUUCCUAAGACUAUCUGUUUUUAUCAUGUCCUUAAUUAUAAAUACCUAUAUAUAGGAUUAGGACUUUCACCCCACCCUCCCUUAACCAUAAUCACUUCAGUGUGAAUCACCACCUCUCCCCUGUCCCCUUUACUGAAAAAUGCACUUUAAUUCCUAAGGAGAGUGGCUGUUCUGGCUCUGAAGCCAGAGUACUUCAGGAGGAGAGUGGAGGAGGGAGAACUCUUGCCAGACCCAUCAAACUAACCAAAUGUCUUAUUGUGAACACACAAAUAAUAUCCAUUUUUAAGCUGCCCCCACCUACUCCCUGCCAAAGGGAGAAAGAAACAACCACCAAGUUGAAAUUGUUCAAAAUGCCUACACUGAUUUUGGAAAUUUCACUGGAGGGAAGAAAAGGAAAAAAACCUAUCACUAGGUGAUUUUUGUCAGCUACCAAAUUGUCAGGAACUUCUGUUUGUCUUGUGGGAGGCCGAGGGGUUUUUUGAUUAAAAUUCAAGUGAUACGAUCCAGAAUUGCAUCGUCCCCAAGUAUCAGGUUGGUUCUCCCUUACUUUGACAGGUGUCCUCGCACUCUCCUCCUGCAGACUGUCCUUCCCCUGGUGACAAGCCAGUUAUUCUUGGAGGGGUAGCAUGUCUCCUAAAACCCCAGGAGCCCUGUGGUGUCGGGGAGGGGGGCGGGCAGCAGGGUGGGGGAGGGCAAUUCCCAGAAGAAUUAAGAUGUGGGUUUAUAUGAACAUAUUUAAAGCAGUUUAGCAAAAGCUUUCUCGUUGAACAGCUUUAAGAACAAUGUGAAUGAAAUCUUAGCAACUUGGUUAGUAAUCUGAAAAGUCUAUUAAUGUAUACUUGAAAUUCUGUUUGUAUGAAAAUGCAUUUUCCUCUUUAUUUUAACACUGUGUAAAAGACUAUUAUGCAUGUGAGUGGUUUGAGAAUUAAAUGGUUUAAUACUCAGA